GCAGACAACCACCCUGAAAUGUAGAGAGAUGGUGAAUUCCAAGCCAUGUCCUCUUCUUACCCCAAACAGAAACCAUCUAGAGCCAUAAGCUGAUGUGAACACUUGAAUGGUAAUUUUGAUGACUUUAUGAAGGCUGAAUGUGGACUGGUUUGAGAAUAAGAAACUCCUGGUGGCCACAGUCUUAGGGUAGGGGGCAUCAUAUUUUCAUAGGUUUAAUGUCUAGUAACCCCCCAGCUAUUCCCAGUGAAAAUCCAAGAACUAUCCUCUAUGGCUAUGGCAAAGGAAGGGGAAAAGUAACUAUUUAGAAAUAUGCCAGAGCAUUCUCCAUUUAAAAAGGCCUACCCAACAAAGAAAAAGAUUUUACAAGACCCUUAUUUCACCUGGGGGGUGGUUUUUUAUUAUACUCCAUCCCCCUGUACCACCCUGUUUCACUCAAGAUGGUUGGGGGAUGAGGGAAGAUAGACACACUUGUGAAGGUCACAGCCCAGGGGCCUUCACUACUGCAUCACUAGGGAUCCACUGUAACAACAGGGCAGUGCAGAUGAAAGAGCUGCAAGUGCAGACUCUACUUAAGGAGGAGUCCUUAGGGCAGCCUAAAGACAAACAUGGGAACUCUAGAGGUGUUUGAAGUUUCUGACACCUAAAGCUACAGCAAAUAUUAAACACAGGCCAAUUCCCAGACAGAUUAACAUAAAACAUCACACUGAUGCCUUAUUCACUUCUGUUCCUGUGCCUCAAUAUGUCAUGUCCAGCUUUCAACAGAAAAUUAUGAAGCAUGACGAAAGUGGGGAAAAAAUACAUAUUCUGAAGAUACAAAGUAAGAAUAAAAACCGGACUCAGAUAUGUAACAGAUGUUGAAAUUAUCAGACCACCACUUAAAAUAACUAUGAUUUAAAAUAAUUAUGGCUAAUAUGUUAAGGACUGUAAUGAAAAAAGUAGAUAAGAACAGAUGUGUAAUUUAAGCAGAGAAAUGGAAAUCUUAAGAAAGAAUCAAAUGGAAUACAAAGGAGAAAAGCUACAACACUGUAACAGAAAUGAAGAAUGCCUUUGAUGGACUCAUCUGCAGACUAGACCACUGAGAAACGUAGGUCAAUAAAAAUUUCCCAAACUGAAAUACAAAGAUAAAAAUGAGGUGAGGGGGGAAUAGAAUAGAACAUUUUAAAAGAUAAAACAAUUUGGAUAUAUGAGAUCACAAAUAAUUGAAAUACCUGGAGAAGGAAUAAAGAAUGUAGCAGGAAAAAUAAUUAACUAAUGAAGAACUUUCCAAAAUUAAUAAUGGACCACAGACCUAAGAACCUCAGAGGACCCAAACAGGAUAAUACCCCAAAAUAUGCACAUAGGCUAUCUUAUUCAAACUUCAAAAACCAAAGACAAAGAGAAGUUACUGAAACAAACCAGGAGAGGAACACGUCCUACUUAUAAAGGGACAAGGAUGAAAAUUAUAGCAGACUUCUCAUCAGAAACCAUGCAUGCAAGAGGAGAAUGUUGACGGGAAAAAACCCUGCUAACCUGGAAUUCUAUAUCCGAAAAGAAUAUCCUUCAAAAGUAAAAGAAAUAAAGACUUUCUCUAACAAAUAAAAACUGAAGGAAUUAAUCACAUACAGAAAUGCCCUGUAAGAAAUGUUAAAAUAAAUCCUUCAGGGAGAAAGAAAAAAAACAUAGGUCAAAAAUUUGUGUCUACAUAGAGAAAGGAAGAGCAUCAGAGAAAGAGUAAAUGGUUAAAAUUAAAUCUUUUAUUUUUUCUUAUUCUUAAUUGAUCUAGAGAUAACUGCUUGUUUAAAGUAAUAAUAGCAACGAUGUCCUGCUUGAUGAUAGCAUAUGGAUAAGUGAAAUGAAUAACAGUAAUGUCAAAGGGAUGAAAGGGAGGUAUUGGAAAUAUUUGGUUAUAGGGCUUGUAUACUACAGGGGGAGCAGUAGAGUGUUAUUUGAAAGUAGAAUUAGAUUAGUUAUAAAUGUGUAUUGCAAACUCUAGGAUAACCACAAAAUAUUAAAAAAAAAUGAAAUAAUGGAACUGCACAAAGUAAGAGCUAAACGAUCCCUUCUCUACAUUUUAUAACACUACUUCUGAAAGGUAGCCACUGUUAUUAAUCUGGUGUGCAUUCUUCAGGAUACACAUGAGAGAUAUUUUUCUGCACCUUCAUUUGUAUUCACCCAACAUACUAGGACAUCCUUCCAUGCAGGUCUACUUCUGAGUGGGUGCUGAUGGAAGGACUUGGAGGUACCUAGUCUAGUCUAGGAGAUACCCUUGAGAUCAGUUAGUGAUGGAUGUGAUGGAUGCAUGUAGCUAGAGAAAACUGCUUGAGGGACACACAAACAACCAGUGGGGACUGGGGUGGGGAGCUCUCUGGACUCUUAAAUUUGGGAGGUGCAGAAUGAAGAGCACUGUGCCCAGGGCAAGAAAGCUGGGUCCAAAGGGCUGUGUCCAGGGAAUAUGGGGCAAACUAACUCACCUCUCUGAAACUCAUAGAGCAGGCAUUCACCACUUGAGGCACAGAUUCUCUGUGAUGCUUAAGUAACAUCCUCUCUAUGUGAUAUCCCCUUUAAGUGGUCACCCAGCCUCUACCUGAACUCUGCAGUGAUGGGCAGUGGGGAAAAGAGAGGGCUUCAGUUGGAGUUCAGUAAGUUGACCCUAGUGUUGGUGGUGGAGUGUGGGGUGGUGCUGGACAGAGCCGUGAGAACAAGCAGAGACCAAGAAGGCAGCCAGCUGUGAGCCCCUAGGGGUGGGGGUGGAGGUGGAAGGAGGGGGAUGGGAGAUUGAAGUUGAACUAACAAAAGAGGGUGGAUUUCAGAACCAAAGAGCUUAAGCGGAUUAUCCAAGUCCUCAGUGGGUGUGCGAAAGGGUCCUGCUCAGAUGAGAAAAGAAGCCUUUUCACCCCAGUUCCCUCUGGCUACCAGAGCCACAGGCAGUUUUGGAAGAGAUGCUGUUCUCCGUGGGAGUCAGCCAAAUUACAGUGGGCUGAGAGCAGUUUUUGACUUCAGAACGUUGCCGGGAGAAAAACAAAACCUUCAGCUUUCUCAGCAGGGGAACUUCAAUGCCCACAGCAUCACAAAGGGGCAGGAUGCAAACAUACCAUACGUGUGCAUGGUGGAUGCACAAGCACAGGGUCUGGAUAAUUAGUAGUCUUGGGUUUCCUGGUAGGGUCAUGCUUUUUCAUUGAAUUGGUUGGCUGGAAAAUACUCCAACCCUUUCUUUGCCAAGCUCAGAAGUGGUAGAGCCAGAGUUACCAUGCUUCCUGUAUUUUCCAAAGAGCUGAUGGCAGCCGAUUUUCAGUGAGACUUCUGAACCAUUGUUUACAUUUGCAUUUUAGACUUUCACGUGGACCUGCAGAAUAAAUACAUGCACUCUUGAGAAAGUGAUACUUUUUUAAAAAGGAACUUCAAACCCACAGUAGAGUCUUUUGUUUUACUUCUGAUUCUGGAACAUCACCAACCACUACUGGAUUUGUUAACCGCAGGAUGUUUUUUGAAUAGUUUUUAACUCUAAAACAUGUGGUUUUACUGGCAGCAUGUCUUAAAAUGUUGAAUAAUUAAUAAGAAAUCGGCUUUGGGAAAUCUAAAUUUUUUGACUGCAGAGCAAUUUUUAGAAAAACUGCUUUUAAACAGCUCCUGUGGGGAUUUUCCCAUAAAGUCGUCUCUCAUCUGCCAGAUGGAAGAAACGAUUGAGCAAUAAGGAUUAUACAUGUCGAUAAUUUAUUGAGCACUUACUAUGAGCCAACCACCUGAGAUGUGUUAUUUCUGGUCUUUAUGGGACAGGAUGUUAAAAAGGAGACUCUUUUGUCUCAAUGUGCACAGAGGUAUUAGGAUGCUAGUUCUGAGGAUAAUCAGUGUGAGAGAGACCUGCCGUGUCUACCUGGCUUGAAAUUAGGAAAGAUUGAGAGAAGAUUAAUCAAGAGAGUGGAGGCGCCACCUUCCAGCCUUGAAAUGUGUUCUUUGACACAGCCACACCUCCAGGGUCCCAGGCGGCAAAGUCACUUGCUUGGUGAAAACUGUCCUUUUCUCUGACCUCGUCCCCGCUCCCCUCCCUGUUCCUGGCCCUGCUGAUCCCAAAGAGCAGGAGCAGAUGAACACGAGAGAACAGAAAGACAGCCUCUCCUUCCCCACUGUUCACGGAAGCUGGUCUGAGCUGGGAAGGGGGAGAUUUUUUUCAUUGCUGUAUAGUUUGCUUACAAUAUGAUAUGAGUUUCAAGUGCACAGUGAUUUGACAUUUUUAUAGAUUAUAUUCAGUGUAAAGUUGUUAUAAAAUAUUGACUGUGUUCCCUGUGCUGUACAUUACAUCCUUGUAUCUUAUUUUAUACUGAGUAGUUGUUUGUACCUCUUAAUCCCUUUUUCUUACCUUGCCCCUCUCCUCACUGGUAACCAUCAGUUUGUUCUGUGAGUCUGUUUCUGUUUUGUUAUAUUCAUUGCUUUAGUUUUUAGAUUCCACAUAUAAGUGAAACCAUGCAGUAUUUGUCUUUCUCUGUCUGACUUAUUUCACUUAGCAUAAUACCUUCUAGGUUCAUCGGCAUUGUUGCAAAUGGAAAAAUUUCAUUUCCUUUUAUGGGCUGAGUCAUAACAUUCCAUUAUAUGCAUGCUACAUCUUCCUGAAGCUAAAUCACAUUCAGAGUUUUGGAUCAUUUCAAACAGCUGGACUUUGCAAUCCCUGAGUUGCGGCUGUAUUGGCAGCCUUUAGACUGUCACCUGACUGAGUGUGAGCAGAAUAGAGAGAGGCUUGCAGGAUUUGUCACUCACAGGCAGGCAGAGGCCGCCCCUCCCCCCAUCCUCUCUCCUCCCCCAUCCUCUCUUCUCUGCGCCCCCCAACAGUUAAAGUGCUUUUUAGUCACAGUGGGUCCUCAUGCUUGUUUAGCACAGCAGUCACACUCACAGCACCACCAAUGGUGUGGGACUAUGUUUCCCAUUUUGUAGAUGGGAAAUAAAGGUCAGAGAGGUUAAAUAACAACUAGGAAUCAUAUUCAGAUUUCCCUGUCUCAGUUCUGUGUUAUUCCUUACUAUUUUGGUUAUUAUGCCAAAAGGUGAAAUGCUAAAGGAAGGAGGGAGAUACAGAUUUUUAAGGAAGAAAAGUAAAGUUUCCCCUAACAAUUGAUUUUAGAUAUUGUCUAUGAUGCUGGAAAGAUGGUAUCAGAAUCCAGAGUUCAUUCUUCGACUGCUGUGGUAUCAAUAUGAUGUCAGCAUUCGCAGGCCCAGCUCUGUCCUGCCCCUUUUUAAGGUGUGUAAUUGGGGAGUUCCUAUUGUGGCUCAGCAGGUUAAGAACAACAACUAGUGUCUAUGAGGAUGAGUUCGAUCCCUGGUCUUGCUCAGUGGGUUAAGGAUCUGGUGUUGACCUGAGCCGUGGCGUAGAUCACAGAUACUGCUCUGAAUCAUUGUUGCCGUGGCUGUGCUGUCGGCUGGCAGCUGCAGCUCCCAUUCAACCCCUAGCCUGGGAACUUCCAUUUGUGGUGGGUGUGGCCUUAAAAAGACAGGAAAAAAAAAAAAAA
rnacentral:lncRNA from 1 species